UCUUGGUCAUUUAGAGGAAGUAAAAGUCGUAACAAGGUCUCCGUAGGUGAACCUGCGGAGGGAUCAUUACAGAGUUCAUGCCCUCCGGGUAGAUCUCCCACCCAUUGCUAUCACUACUCUCGUUGCUUUGGCGGGCCGCUGGGCCCUGCCCGGCCGCCGGCCCCGGCUGGCGCGUGCCCGCCAGAGACCUCACAGACUCUGAAUGUUAGUGUCGUCCGAGUAACUAUACAAUCGUUAAAACUUUCAACAACGGAUCUCUUGGUUCUGGCAUCGAUGAAGAACGCAGCGAAAUGCGAUAAGUAAUGCGAAUUGCAGAAUUCAGUGAGUCAUCGAAUCUUUGAACGCACAUUGCGCCCUGUGGUAUUCCGCAGGGCAUGCCUGUUCGAGCGUCAUUUCAACCCUCAAGCCUCGCUUGGUGUUGGGCCCUGCCCGCCGCGGCCGGCCCUAAAGAUAGUGGCGGCGCCGCCUGGCCCUCAGCGUAGUACAGCUCUCGCUCCAGGGUCCGGCGGCAGCCUGCCAGAACCCCCCCCAACUCUGUGGUUGACCUCGGAUCAGGUAGGGAUACCCGCUGAACUUAAGCAUAUCAAUAAGCGGAGGAAUCGA
rnacentral:rRNA from 1 species